rnacentral:lncRNA from 1 species
GCCCAGUGCCAUCCUCUCUCCUCACUAACUUUAGCAAUCAGGAAAUAUGGGGAGCUGUUUGUGAGCUGGAAGUGACCAGGGAAAGCCUCACUGGGAGCCAUCUUUGUGGAGCCUCCCCCCACCAUGUGCUCUGUAUCCCCGAUUUCCACAGUCCCAGUGCUUUGGGAAUUGUCCGCUGGAAGGAAGAGCUCAUGGGCCACUUUAAUUUCAGAAUUGACCAGCAGCUGGAGAUGACUCAGGUCUCAGGGGGAACUAUUCCAGGAAACUGGCUUUUCACUUCUGGAACCUUCUCUAGUUGAGUCAGCAACCAGCACUGGCAUCUGGAGUCAGCUCCACUUAAACCCACCUAUGGCCUUACAGGGAAUGUGGAAUGUCAGAGACCUGCUCAGUCAGACGCAGUGGCUGCAGAUAUAGCACAGGAGUCCGGGGAUCCCUGCCAGGGCACACAGUUUUGUUUUACUUCUAAGUAGUAACUCUAGGAGAGGUUACUGGGAGAGACAGUAAGGAGGUAGACAAACUGAUACAAGAUCUGUCUACUUAGGAUGAGUUUUUCUCUCACACCUGAAAGCCAGCAAAGACGGUAACUUUUCCUUGGGCUGUGAGAUGCCGUGGCCGCUCGCUUUCACGAUUCUGUGGCGGCACACAUGGUUUUCAGAGGCUGGUGGAACUCGAGUCCCUUGCCAAGAAAGGAAGAAAUGGGAUAAAUGUGAGACGUGCCGAGAGCUAGAGCCAACUGUGGCCUGUGUCGUGGGCUGGGAAGGAGUGGCUGCUUGCAUAAUUGCUUGUGAAGCAGUUUGUAGCAGGCUCUCUCCCUGACUGUUAAAACCCAGGCAGUCUCUGCCUAAUGGUUAUAAUUAGCUGGGGAAACGGGCACAGCGUCUCCUCAUCUGGUUUCCACACAGUUCAUAGAAUGCCUUUUAUGUUCCAUGGUGGCCUCUGGUACGACAGAUUCAGAGCUUUCUGCUUCAUGGUUAUUUUUGUGUAUCUUAGGAGUAUAUUUUCAAGCCCGUUUCUAAAUAUCUCGACGAUUAGUCUGGAGUUGGCUCCUGCUCCCUCUUUAGAGGACAGGGGCUUAUGUAGCCCAGGAUGGCCCCUCUAACUCACCAUGUAGCUUUCUCACCUUGAAUUCCGGAAAUUCUUGCCUCUGCUUUCCGAGUGCUGCUUCUAGAGAAGGAAAGAAGCUAACCCCCGAGGGGCUUAGCAUGCGUCUGAGGGGCUCCCUGUCUUCUCUGCGGAGGUCUCACUGUGAGAGGUGGCCACACCCUCUCUCCAACGUCUCAGUAGCAUCCCAUGAUGGCUGCUAAGCAUCUGGGCAUUGCUCUGUGAGGUCCCACCAGGAGGAGCCAGCACCCUCCCGUGCUGGUAGGUGACAAGGAGGGGGGUUGCUCAUGUAGGAUCAUAUAAGAUCAGAAAUGUUGAAAGAAUUUGUGGUCACAGGAAAGAUGUAGAUUCAAAUUGUUGUUGUCGAGCACUGUCACAGAACAAAAAUGCAAGGCAAUGGCUGUCAAUCAAACAGAACAAUCUCAAUUUCAGAUGCGUUUCUUUAAAAGGUGUGUCUCAAAUCAUUUGCUUUUGAAGGUUUCUGCAAAGUUGUGCCAUCCAGUGCCAUAGUAAACCCCACCCUCUUCUCUUAGGCCUCACCAUAGGAUCUCUGCAACUAAGGAGUCUGUGAGAGGCAAUGAGGGAAAGAUUUCUUUUUAUCGCUAAGUGGUGGCUUCCCAGCCUGUGGGAGGCAGAGGCAGGUGCGUCUCUGAGUUUAAGGCCAGCCUGGUCUACAGAGAAAAUUCCAGGACAGCCAGGGCUACAUAGAGAAACCCUGUCUGGAAAAACAAAAUUACCUCCCAAACAAACAAACCAAC